UACCAGCACCCCGAGUGGUCGGGACGAUUAUUGGGCCUAAAGCAUCCGUAGCCGGUUCUACAAGUCUUCCGUUAAAUCCACCUGCUUAACAGAUGGGCUGCGGAGGAUACUAUGGAGCUAGGAGGCGGGAGAGGCAAGCGGUACUUAGUGGGUAGGGGUAAAAUCCGUUGAUCCAUUGAAGACCACCAGUGGCGAAGGCGGCUUGCCAGAAUGCGCUCGACGGUGAGGGAUGAAAGCUGGGGGAGCAAACCAGG
rnacentral:rRNA from 1 species